ACGUAAAUGGAAGCGGGAGAUUUGAACAAAUUCGUAAUGACAUUUCCCAAUCCAGAAAAUGGCACUUUUUAUGAUUUAUUUUAGACAACAUACGAAAUUAGAAAAAUCUUAAUGACCUAUAUUAGAGUAUUAUGGAAAAUUAAUAGAUAAGAAUUUAUUGAACAAUGUAUAAACGCUUCGUCUUUUGCUUGGUAUUAUUAAUGAUAAUAGAAAAUGAAUCUAGAGGCAUAAAGAUUAGAGUAAAACGACAGACAAUAGAAGAAGCCCCUCCAUUUACAUUCUCCCUAUCUGGAGUGAUGGAAGAUGCUAGCCGAAUUUUUGGAAAAGUUGUAGAGAAAUUGUUUGCAAAUAAAAAAAUGUUGGGUGUCGAGCCAAGAAUAAUUUCUUGAUUGUGUUUUUGAAAUGUAAUCUGUACACAUUGAAAAAAGGCUUAUUUAAUUAGUUUUUAUUUUUAGCUACUUUUUUUAGAUAUCAUUUGGCAGAUAUUUAUUUAUAUGCAAAUGUUUGCAAAAAAUUGUAAGUCUAAAUUUAAAACUGCAAUAAAAGUAUGUUUUUACCAA